AUUGAACGCUGGCGGCAGGCCUAACACAUGCAAGUCGAGCGGAUGAAGGGAGCUUGCUCCUGGAUUCAGCGGCGGACGGGUGAGUAAUGUCUAGGAAUCUGCCUGGUAGUGGGGGAUAACGUCCGGAAACGGGCGCUAAUACCGCAUACGUCCUGAGGGAGAAAGUGGGGGAUCUUCGGACCUCACGCUAUCAGAUGAGCCUAGGUCGGAUUAGCUAGUUGGUGGGGUAAAGGCCUACCAAGGCGACGAUCCGUAACUGGUCUGAGAGGAUGAUCAGUCACACUGGAACUGAGACACGGUCCAGACUCCUACGGGAGGCAGCAGUGGGGAAUAUUGGACAAUGGGGGAAAGCCUGAUCCAGCCAUGCCGCGUGUGUGAAGAAGGUCUUCGGAUUGUAAAGCACUUUAAGUUGGGAGGAAGGGCAGUAAGUUAAUACCUUGCUGUUUUGACGUUACCAACAGAAUAAGCACCGGCUAACUUCGUG
rnacentral:rRNA from 1 species